AUUGAACGCUGGCGGCAUGCCUUACAUAUGCAAGUCGAACGGCAGCACGGGAGUAAUCCUGGUGGCGAGUGGCGAACGGGUGAGUAAAGCAUCGGAACGUGCCCAGUCGUGGGGGAUAACGUAGCGAAAGCUACGCUAAUACCGCAUACGAUCUGUGGAUGAAAGCGGGGGACCGUAAGGCCUCGCGCGAUUGGAGCGGCCGAUGUCAGAUUAGGUAGUUGGUGAGGUAAAGGCUCACCAAGCCGACGAUCUGUAGCUGGUCUGAGAGGACGACCAGCCACACUGGGACUGAGACACGGCCCAGACUCCUACGGGAGGCUGCAGUGGGGAAUUUUGGACAAUGGGCGCAAGCCUGAUCCAGCAAUGCCGCGUGCAGGAUGAAGGCCUUCGGGUUGUAAACUGCUUUUGUACGGAGCGAAAAGGCUUCCACUAAUACUGGGGGCUCAUGACGGUACCGUAAGAAUAAGCACCGGCUAACUACGUG
rnacentral:rRNA from 1 species